GCAGGCGUGUACAGUGCUAGAGGGUGUGGAGAGAGACUGGGUACUUGCAGUAUCACCGUGUAACUCAGACCGCCUUUGAAAUCGACAUGGCGCCUUAUACAGCUCCUCAGUUUCAGCCCGGGCUAUACCUUCUCCUAUCAACCGCGGUGGCGGUCUCUUCUGCUUUUAACAUCGAUGUGAAGUUCCCGAUCAUUAAACAGGGACCACCCGGCAGCUACUUCGGAUAUUCGGUGGCGUUACACCGACAACUGAAAGAUCAGGAUCGCUACCUAUUGCUAGUUGGAGCUCCGCAGGCAGAGGGUCUGCCAGGUCAACUGGCAAAUCGCACAGGAGCCUUGUUCUAUUGUACUGUAUCACCAACUCCCAACAACUGUAAACGUGCCAAGUUUGAGAAACCAACUGACCCACAAACUGAAAGUAAGGAGGACCAGUGGCUUGGAGUCACCGUGGCAAGUCAAGGGCCUGGUGGGAAGGUGGUGGUUUGUGCACAUCGUUAUGAGAAGAGACAACUGACGCAACAAGAUGAGAAGAGAAUUUUAGUGGGUCGUUGUUUUAUUUUGAGUGACAACAUCGCCAUCAAUCCAGAUGAUGACUGGGACACUUCGCCAGCGCAAUUCUGUGAAAAUGUCGGGGAUGAUCACCAGGGACUGCUUAUGUGCCAGCAGGGCAUGGCUGCAGGAUUCACGCACCCCAACCAUUAUGCAUAUUAUGGAGCACCAGGUGGCUGGAACUGGCAAGGAACUGUCCAAGUCUCUCAAAAGAAUAUCACAUUUCUCGAUCUCAAUAUACUGUCUGAUGGUCCUUACAUACUGAAAGAAGCAGGAAAGGCUCACAGCUACAUAGGAUACUCACUUACUGCUGGGCAGAGAGUCACACAUCCCAAGCAGUUCAGCUAUGUGGCAGGAGGCCCGCGCCAUAAUCACACAGGAGCAGUGUUCGUUCUCAGACAGAGCACAGACGAUGAAUUAGCUAUCGAGCACACUAUAAUGGGAAGUCAAACAGGGUCUUACUUUGGGAGUUCAGUGGCUAUUGCUGAUCUUGAUAAUGAUAGUUGGCAAGACAUAAUUGUCGGAGCUCCUCACUACUUCGAUCAGAAGAAGGAGAUCAGUGGGACUGUGCAUAUUUACAUGAAUGAGGCAGGACAGUUCUCAGAGGAACCCAACCUGGUAUUAAAUGGCUCAAAGGAUUCCAUGUUCGGUUAUGCCAUCAGCACUAUUGGAGACAUUAAUCAAGACGGUUUUCAAGAUAUUGCCAUUGGAGCUCCAUAUGAUGGUUUUGGCAAAGUUUUCAUAUACCACGGUAGCAAGGAUGGACUGAAUCCUCAACCUAGUCAGGUCAUCAGUGGAGCAGAUCUUGAGAAGACUGACCCGAUCAAUACAUUUGGCUAUUCAAUCAGUGGAGGACUUGAUGUUGAUAGGAAUGAUUAUCCCGAUGUUCUAAUUGGAACAUUAUCUGACAGAGUCAUUUUACUGAGAUCUCGGCCAGUUAUUAAUAUUAGUAAAAAUUUCACUGUACAUCCAAGCAUCAUUGAUCCCAGCACCUGCACUAUUAAGUCCUGUGUCACAGUGACAGUUUGCUUCUCAUACAUCGUGAGCACAGGAAAUAGAAAGUACAAUCGCAGUAUUGGUCUUAAAUAUACAUUGGAGGUCGAAAAAGAAAGGCGUUCUUCUCCACGUAUUAAAUUUGUUAAGACAAACAGUGCCAUUUAUCAUGGCAUUUUAACCAUGCCACAAACCAAAUGCCAGAGUGUCCAGCUAGGGUUGAUGGACAACGUGGAAGAUAAGCUUCAACCUAUUUCGGUCACUUUAAAUUAUUCUAUCGACAAUAACAGUGAAGCUAGAGGAAGAAAGGCUGAAAUGAAUAAUUAUCCCAUUUUGAAUAUAUUGCAAGACCAUACUGGCCUGGAAGAGAUACAUAUUCAGAAGGAAUGUGGCAAUGACCGCAUAUGCAACAGCAACCUCCAACUGAAACAUGCAUUUGGCAGAUUGGGGAACAAUGAGGUUUUCCAUCCCAUAAGAAGAAAAAGGGGCAAGCAAAUCUUGGACUUUGAUCCACAAUCCAACCCAUAUUCCAAAAAGCUUGUGUUGCAAGUGAAUGUUACAAAUUUCCCAACAAAUGCCACUAAUGGCGAAGAUGCUCACCAGGCCAGGCUCAACAUUACCCUACCUGAUACGUUGACAUAUGUUGGUAUUCGUGCAGAAUCAGUCAGGUGUGAUCCUGCAGAUCGUUACACCGUGAUUUGUGAAUUGGGAAAUCCUUUCAAGAAGAAUCAGAUGGCUACGCUCAACAUAAUUCUGGAAGUAACUGGAAUUACUCUUAACACAAGAGAGAUUGAUGUGGAACUCCAACUUCAAACAGAAAGUACACAAAGUGACUUGAACCCAGUUUUAGCGUCAAUAUCUGUGGAAAUUCAGCUACAAGUUAGCCUUUCUGUGGAAAAGAAAAUACAGCAAACCUACUUCAGUGGUACAGUCAUCGGUGAGAGUGCAAUCAAGACGUUUGAAGCUAUAGGCAGUCCUGCAGACUUCACUUUUCAGGUGACAAACCAUGGAGAGCCUUUGGGUGACUUAGGAACUCUGUACCUCAGUUUUUUGUGGCCAUAUGAAAUCAGUAAUGGGAAGUGGUUGCUGUAUCUCACUGAAAUUGAAAUGAAUGGGACAGAAAACCAGUACUGCAUACCAGCAGGGAACAUUGUAAAUGAGCUGAAUUUAACGAGGAAUAACCAUACAACACACCCUCAAAGAAGAAAACGUGAAUUGAAACCUGCAGCUGCCAAGAAUUUAAAAAUACCUGGCGCACUGAAAAAGGGAAAAGGCAACUUGCAAUUAGACUGUAACCAGAAACACACAGCCCGAUGCAAGCAGUUCAAUUGUUUGCUACGCAACAUGACUCAAAAGGCCACAGUAACAUUGCGAGCACGUCUAUGGAACAGCACCUUCCUGGAGGAAUACAGGGACUACGAUCGGAUUGUUGUCGUGGUGGAGGCAUCCUUGCAUUUGAUGACAAACAUCACCACUAUCAAAAUGAAACAACCAGAUGUGACAACAUUGCUCUACGUUGAAUCCCAAGUUGAUGAUGAACCACCUUAUGAGAUACCAGCAUGGAUUAUUGCUGUAGCAGUGCUGGCAGGCGUCAUGUUAUUGAGUCUGAUAAUCCUUUUACUCUGGAAGUGUGGCUUCUUCAAGAGAACACGAUACUACAGGAGCAUGCCAAAGUAUCAUGCUGUGAAGAUCCGCAAAGAAGAACGCUAUUUUAUCACAGAAGGUUUUACAAAAAAGAAAACACAGAAGAAGCAGUGGGUAACAAACUGGAAAGAUAAAAACAGUUACUAAUAUUUGCUUCUCCGUGAAUUUAAAGGGGCCACAUUGAUGAGACCACAUAUUUUUACGAUUAAGAUUACAAAGAACUGGACCAGUGUAUCAACAUUUCUGUUCACAUUACUUUAGUUCUAUUUAUGAUAACUUGUGUUUCAGUCAAAUGCAAGAAUUUUUUAUGAGACAAAGUUUAUAAAGCACAGUUGGAACAGCUCUUGAUGCCAUUUGAAGUUGAUCUUUGAGCUAAGCAUAGUGCAGGAACUUAGUUUUCCUUAUGGAUGAGACUGUUAAGAAUUCAAUGCACUGAAAUAUUGGGGAGGAAAGGGGAUUAAAGUGCUUAAUGUUAAAUAUAUUGUUCAGUGAUAUUUUAUUCUUAAAGGGUUAAAAUUUAAUUUAUUGUGUUAUAAAGGGAAGAAAGGUCCAUUUGAAAUGUAAUUGGGAGGCACUCUAAUUGAAAAUCAGUUGAGGGUGUUCAAAAGAGUUGCUGCCAAUCGUAGUUGUAUAUGCGAAUAUGAUCCAAAUCGUAAGACAAAUAAGGCCAAUACCUAUUGGAUAACUGGGAUUAUGUUUGUGCUGUUGCAUAUCCUUUUUCCUGACCCAAUCUGUAUUUGCAAUAUAACUGUUUACACGAAUACAUCUUAAGCAUAAUGGUCAAGUGUAUGAUCUUUCUCUCUGUGCCCUGUCUACUGACUAGCCAUUGCAGAUUACAGUUUCUAAAAGUGUUUUAUUCUGUGAUACCAAUAUUCAAUUAUUAAAGGAAAAUGAGAAAUAGAAAGCAUUUUUUAAAAUCAAUCUAUAAAUUAAAUAUCAAGUUUUAGAUAUCCCUUUGAUAUCUAAUGAAAAAUGGUACUGUUUUCUUUAAAAUACAGUUUAUAUAUUAGCCGUAAGGGUGCCAAAUACAUUUAUUUUUCCCAUUGUUGUCUAGAUAGCAUUGGGAAACAUUCAAAGUUUUCUUCUGUUGUUUAGUUAUUGAGUUGGAAGAGAUUGGAGAUCUGUUAUUUGUCAGCCUGAUUGCAACUUUGCUAGGCAAACAAGAAAGAUGAAGGAAAGUGUAAACCAGACAUCCACUCAAUUUAGUUCCUUUUAUGAGUAGAAUUACCUUUCAAAGAGCCUGAUUAUUUAAAAAUAGCCUUAUACUAAAGCUAAGAAUUUUGGCAUGUAGUGAUUAAACAAAAGCCUUUCCUUUUUAUUGGAUGACACAAUAGUAGUCCUGACUUCUAGUAAUUAUCAGCUAGAAAUAAAGCAUCCCAUACGCGUACUGUAUGUACAUUUUUGUUCAUAUUAGCUGGCAUUGAUGAAUAUAAUCUUGUAUGUAUGUGUGUUUGUAUAAAUAUAUACAUGCACACAAAUGAUGGAGACAGAAUAUGUGAUAGGAGAAAGUGUGUAGUCUACAUUGUUUAUUCAACAUAUAUAGCAUAGACUUGCAAAAAAGUGGAAAAACUGGCCUUAAUAUUUUCAAAGAAGUGCCAAUCCAUUUAAUUCAAACAUGAUAGCAUUUCUUUUACAGUGCAGAAUGAAACUGAUUUUCUUGUCAACAGUUAUUACAAUUUGAAACUCUGCAUACAGAACAAACAUUUGCUGACUUGAGGUUGUAAAAUCCCUAGUAAGUGGAAACAAUUUGGUUCCCCUUCACAAAUAGCUUUCUUUUCUUAAGUUUAGUUGUAUAUUUUGUGAUGUUAUUGGUAAUUGUAACCAAAGCAAAAUGUAGCUUCUUUUGCAUCUGCUGUCUGAUACAAUUUUAUAACAAAAAAAAUGCUAUUUUAAGAUGAAAACAUAGAACACUGGUUGAGCCUCAGCUGAGAUUUUGUUGCCGAAGCAAGGAUAAAGACUGGAGGAAGGAUGUCAAGGCCUUGGAAAUGGGACUGAGGUGAUUUACUAGAAAUGAACGACAUCAGUUUCUUGAGUCACCAGGGAACCUAGGAUAUUUCUCCUUAAAGCUCAGAAGGUUAAGAGCAGAUUUGAUGAAGGGUUUUGAUGGAGUAGAUGAGGAAAGAAUUCACAUGUAAAUGAGCCAAAAGGAACCAGUUAAAAGUAAUGGACAAAAGAAUGACAUGAACAGAAAGAAAAUACUGUGUUUUGUCGUGAUCUAAAAUGCACUAGCUGGAAGAGUAGAAGCAGGUUCAAUAGCACUUUUCAAAAGAAAGUGGAUAAAUGCUUCAAUCGAAAAAGUUUGAGGUGAGGAGCUAUGGGGUUUGAGCAAGAGAAUAAGAUUAAUUGGCUAUCUUUUUCAAAAAGCCAGAAUGAGCUAAAUGCUCUCCUUCCAUGUUGAAUGAUUUUAUGACCAAGAAAACAUUGUAAAUGCAGAGUAAAAAUCAUUUCAUUUUGAGAGUUUCUAGUCUUUUUAUAUUUUUCUGGAUGGAAAAUGUUUACAGGUUUAAAUUGCUUUCAUUUUAGUAUCAGUCUGAAGAGUUGCGCAAAACAACUUUGUAUUGUAGGGAUUAUGUGAUCGUUAUAUUAGUGGAGUACAUUGUUCUUUGGAAUUCUGGUUAAGAUGUAUGUGCUGAGAGAUGGUAAAGAUUGAAACCAUAAAGUGUGAUUCAGAACACUUAAGUGUGUUUCAUCGUUUUUGUAUUUUUAAGGUCUGUUAAAGCAUCCAACAAUGAUUUUCAGAGAAAAUUGAAAGAAAAACUCUUUCAAUUUUAUCUGGAAAAAUAAUUAAUCUUGUUGAGAUCUGGCUGUUUCACUUAUUGUUGAGGAGCCAGGAAGGGAUCCAUGCUCCCGCUUUUCAGGAGACUCCCUGAACAACAAGCCAAUAAGACAAUGACAAGAUCUCUGGUGGCUUUCCCCUCCAAUCAAGUCCCUUGAGGGUAGACGUCUUAUCUAUUGCAUGACUGGCAAGGUAGUGGCUGCUACAAAAAAAAGACCAAUCAAGUUCUUCAAGAUCACAGGUAGCCAGAUCACAUAAAUACUUCAGGGAUUUGCAGGUGAGGCCCGUGGGAGGGAAAAGGUGUGGAAUUUCAGCAGCAAGGGCAGGCUGUGCCUCCCUGAGCCCCUCUACCUGAUUUCCAGUCUUUCGAUUAUAUGCUUAAUAUCUUUAGAACCAGAGCUCUCUCUCCUGCCAGUUGAUGAAGCAAGCCGACAACAGUUCCAGCUGCCACUGGAUUUGUACCAGCAAUUUCGAACAUAGCUAUUAAUUGACCAUUUAAGAAUCUCAAGUUGUAGCAGGACAGAAAGGUCAACUGUGGGCUUCCCCACCCAGAACUCAAAUCUGGAAGAAGUAGUAAAGGAGUUGGGCUGCGGUACACCAUUAACUUGCUUAAUUACAUACUCUGAUGUACAGUCCAAAGUCUCCUUCAUAUUAAACUGCUCCAGGGACUGCCAGCCUGAUUUGUAAUUUUUUUUGUUGAAGGAGGCAGAUUUUGUUUUCCAUGAAGUGCUUGUAUGAGAGCAAUGAACCGUGUGGAGAACUCUGAUAUAUCUAUUCCCAAAGUGAUCAACAGAACUCAACUCCACCAGGAAUCUCCCCUGGAUCUUCCAUUUCAUUGUUUUCUGUUCCAUUUUUUUCUCGUGGGUAAGGGCCAAAGGAGAUCUAGUGGCUGAUCACCCCUGGAGGUUGGCACUUUGCACCCUCUGUUGAGCUUGAUGGAAUUCAAGUAUCAAGUCUUUAAGGGGAAGGUGAUUGAUCCCCCAAAGGGAUCACCCCAAGAACUUGAUGGCUCUGUACAGAAGUGCAUGCAUUCCUUCAGACCCCACUUUGUUUCCCCUCCUCCGGGGUGGAAUGAACCUGUGUAAAUCUGUGUCUCGCGUGUUGUUGCAAUAUAUAGAAAUCUGGACCUCCUUUCUCUAAGAGGCUGAGAAUGUUAUGUCAUUUGAAAUUACCAAGAAUAAGACUGGUAGAUUUUAGUUAGGUUAGAGAUUUUGUUAAUGCCUCUAACUUGAGGAAAAGACAAGUAAAUAGAAUAGCGACACAGUUUGGCUAUGCUUUAUACAUUGGCAGAAAAGUCUCAAGUCUGCAUGGCUUACUAACGUUCCAACAUUUAGUGUUAGAACCAGUUCCAAGCCUUUGUUUAUUAUAACAUACUUGGGGAUAUAUUCAUAUGUAUUUAAGUUUGUUUAAAAUGAUCUAUGCAAUACUUGAGAAAUGAAUCAGGCUCAAUUUAGAAUAAUGCUAAAAAAGUGACAAAAGUUAACUAAAAUUUGAAUAGCAAUUUUUCCACAAUAAUACAUACAUUUGCAAAUCUCUCAUCUUUACUCAUUUGGAGAAAUGAAAUUGGGUUCAGCAUUUUUCGAUUGUUCACACAUAGCUACACUCAAUAAUUGGAGGUGUGGUUGAGAGUAUGUAAUCUCUAAAAGUAUUGAUGUGACAAUUCUUAAAACCAAAGAACAAGGAAGAGUAUGUGGUCUAUAAUUAAAUGACAACAAUACACUUGUUCUUCAGAUUGGUUAUUAUAGUAGACUUCUCACAGUGUUAGCAUGCUUGUGGUUAAAUCAAGAGUUUAAGCAUUUAACCUCGCUGAUGUUUCAAACCUGUGUGGUAUUGUUUUUAAGAAGCGCACUUUCCAUGGGACACUAAUCCAAGGGCCCAUCUGCUCUAUCAGGUGAAUCUAAAAUUUCUGAUAGCACUAUUCAAAGAGGACCAGUAGAUUUCCACGUCCUGGCUAACAAUCAGCUUAAUCAACAUCACUGAAGUAGAUGAUCUGGUCAAGAAUUUCAUUGCUGUUUAUUAUGAGACUUUACUUUGAGCAAAGUUGUUAUGCACACAAAUUCUGCACAUUCUGUACUAAUGAAUACACUUCAAAACUACUUGUCCCAGAAGCAUGUUGGGAUGUCCUCAUGUUGCAAAAGGAAUAUAAAAUACAAACUCUUACUUUCUGAUCAGAUCUAUGCAGUACAUUCCGCUUGGUGCUUAUUGGCAGUAGCCUCUUAACCAGAGAGAUAGCAAUUCAAAUUGUGUUUAGCAAUGUUUUGAUUGUUAUUACAUGCACGUAACCUAAAUAGUGGAGGAGUGCUUUCUAGCUAAAAAUUGACUGCCUUUUUCAUAUUGCUAAAGAUACUCUGCCCUGAAAUUACUUUAAUAUAUCUCCAAAAAAAAACUAGAAGUUUUAUUUAGCAAACUAAAAGAUGAAAAUAUUUCUAAACUGUGUAUAGUCAAGAAGGUAAACAGAUGGUCGGAUACUUUUAGAUUUAGAAAAGAAAUGAAGCAACCAGCAGCAGCAGGCUCAAAAUUGUUCCAUUGUUUAAUGAAAAUAUACAGCAAAUUCUGUAUCAGCCAAAGGCCUUGAAACUUAGCUUUGAAAUUCUUCAUCAUGGAAACAAUAUCAGAGAUAAUGGAUUGGUGAACAAAUUUAGCACUGAACUGCAGUUCAUUUUGUAAACUUAACAGUUGAGGUAAUUAAAGCUGUGAAUAAAGAUUUGUGCAAUAAAUAUUCCAGCUGUACAGAGAAAUAUUUUGUACUCCACAUUCUGUUCUGCUACAGCUUUUUGAGCCUGGAUGUCUGUUUCUUAGUCCGGAAGUAGAAAGUGCAAUACACUAAUGUUUGGCCAUUCUCCUCUAUUUUUUGCAGAAAUUGUUAAAGAUUUACAACUUCAUUGAGAGCAUCCAAAUCUCCUGAUUAGAAGCACAGAAUUUUCUAUUUCAAAUGCCAGGCCAGAAAUGUGCUAUUUUUAUAUUAAUCUUUUCUUUGAAGUCAUGAAAUAUCCCUAAUGUUCAGUCAAAGCACUGACCAUAUCUGUUGCUGGUUAUGAACAAAUAAGCUCAGGUUUUGCAUUUCUUUUAUACCUAGUAUCAAAAAUCUAAAGGAACAGCAUUUAGAUACUCAACCAAAUCUGAUUAGAUUUUAUUGCUUGCAAAUUUAAUUGAUUUUAUUUUUUUCUAAUGAGCUGUUGAAAUUAUGUCUUAAUUUACCUAUGCUCCCCAAGAAAGAGUCUUACAAAAAGUGCAAAUAAUAGUUCUAUCCAUCUGACUACAAGAAAAAUUCUUACAUAAAAUACAGGUUUUUGUGAAUCUACCAUAAACAUUUAACAUUUAGAGAUAUUUUCUGCAAAUUGAGAAGGGUUGAUUCUUCGCAAUUUAUAUUGUUUUUGUUUAAUUUGGCCCAAAUAACAGAUCUGGUGCCAAGUAAACCUGCUGUAUUAAAAAAAAACCUUUGCAGUCAAGACGGUUAGUAAUUUCACAAUUACUUCAACUCCAUUCCCUAAAAAUCAGGAAUAGUUAUUGUUUUUCUAUUUUAAGCAAUCAGGUAAUUUUUAAAACACACACUUAAUCUAUUUCCAACCUUUUACCCCUAAACCAUUUUGAAAUAUCACUUUCUUCACCAUAAUUAGCUUUCUAUUCUGCUGCUUAAAUAUCUCAGGAAGUCGUACAAUAUUGCUAUCCAAAUGCAGAUUCUGUACGUUAACACAAACAUGUGUCCUUGCUCUUUUUAACAGUCUACAUUAAAAAAAACGAACACUCUCCUUUCUGUAGAUUUGUCACAUGAAUGAAUGCAUAUUACUACUACUGUUCUACUAACAAUGCUUUGAUGAAAAUAUUGUGUCACUGGACCCCAUUCUCUGAUUACAUUAUUUUGAGGUUGGAACUUUAGCAUCUAAAGUAUUAAUUCAACAAAGAACAUGUCAGGUGAAAGUACAAAACUUUUAAUAACAAAUACCCCCGCAAAUGUGUGUACAACAUUUUACAGGGAAAUCAGAAUACAGCCUCAUCCAAAUACCUCCUCAUUAUAUGCAAACAUGCUUCUAUUUUGUCACAGAGUCAGAAACCUGAAAUGAAACCGGUUUCCUCCCACAGUCCAAAGAUGUGCAGGCUAGGUGGAUCGGCCAUGCUAAAUUGUCUGUAGUGUUCAGGGGGGGUGUGGGUUAUAGAGGGAUGGUUCUGGGUGGGGUGCUUCAAGGGGCGGCGUGGACUUGUUGGGCCAAAGGGCCUGUUUCCACAAUGUAGGGAAUCUAAUCUAAUCUAAUCUAAAAUUGGGAAGAUUGUACAGAGGAAAUUUGCUUUGGAAAGUUACUGUCUAGCUGGAAGGUGGAAAUUGCCCUCCCUGGUAUAUGAGAUUGCUACAGUUUUAUAACUACAUCUAAUAUUGUAACAAGUUAAAUAACUAGGAAUAAGUACCUUGGGUUUUUAUUUUAGAAAACAAUGUUUUCCUUGUUAAAUUAUUCCAAGUAUUUUCCUUCCAAUCUUAUGGCUAAUAUAUCAAUGCAACAGUCACAAAAAGGGGAUCCAAAUGGUUGAAACAUUAAAUCACAUUUAGUAAACUAAAUACAGCAUAGGUUUAAGAUUUGCUGUGACCCCUUUUUAUCCAGACAGUCAAUUGCCCAAAAAAGGUGCCAAAUGGAAUUGUAUCCCAGCAAGGAAUCACGUGCCUUAAGGAAAGGUGAGCAAAAUGUAAUUAUUUUGUUUAAUGUCAGUCACACGGUGAUGCCGGUUGUUGGGGAAUAGCACGAGGUGAAUUGCUCAUUCAGCGAGUCAGUGCAGACACAGUGGGCCAAAUGGCCUUAUUUUGUGCCACAACAAUUCUGCAAUUCCAUGUUACAUUGCAGAUUGACUAAUUAUAUUAUUCAUUAUCUGUUUUUACACAAUAGUCUGCAUUUGAGAAUUUUGCAUUUCUGCUUGCAGUGUCAUGUGUUGGCAGGAAUUUUCCAUAUACCAACUAUUUCCAUUCCAUAAAUUGUACUUAAUUUCUAGUCUGCAUUAUGAAGUUCAGCCUGGUAUUCUGAUCAAUAUUAUUUGUGAAUAAUCAGUUCCUUCGUGUGAAAUUUGUGCUACAUAUACAAACUGAUGAGAAUUGUUUAGAUCUCAUUAACUUUGAAAUUUAAACAGAAAACGGGGAAAAUACUCAGCAAGUCAGCAAUAUCUGUGGAUAAGUAGAGAUUCUCUCUCCAUAAAUGCUACUUAACCUGAAAAAGUUCCGUGAUGAUCACAGAAGAGAGAAAUUGUUAAACUGGACCAGAGUUCUCUUGUGUUCAGGACUAUGUUUUCUACACUCUUGAUCCUGCCAACGUGAAAUGAUUCAACAAUUCAGUUUAACACUGAAAGCAAUGAAUUGUUCUUUUACUUGCAUUUAUAUAGCAAUUUUAAUAUAAAGCAUCCCAGGGUGUAUUAAAUGAAAUUUGAGAUUGUGGUAUGUAAGGCAAUGUUUAAAAAGUUUGGUCACAAAGAGUUAUUCAACAUCUUGAAGCAAAUGUAGAGUCAGACAUUUACAUGGAUGAAAUUUCUGAAUUUAGGGCCUGAAGUAGUAACAGCACUGCUGGUAAUAAGUUGAUUAAAAUCAGGAAUAUUCAAGAGAUCAGGAUCUCCAGAGGAUUGAAGGAAUGGCAGAGAUUAAUACAGAAAUAGAUAAUAAUUAAAGCAAAAGCAGAGGAUAGUAUAGAAGGAUUUGAAAUCAAGAAUAACAAUUUCAUUUUGGAGACUAGGAACCAAUAAAGAACAAAGAGUAUGGUGAGACGGGGGUGGUGGGGGGUUGCUGGUGUAUUGAAACUUGAAUCAAGUUAGAACAGAGGCAGCGGAGAUUUGAAAUGACCUCAGAUUUGCACAGGGUACAGGCGCUGGUCUGAAGUAUGGAAGAUAGUCAAGUCAGGAGCUAACAAAGGCAUGAAUGACUGUUCUAGCAUCAGUAAAGCUGAGAUGAAGGAGGGGUUGGACGAUGCUAGUUCACAUGUAGUAAGGAACUCCAUAAGAAGUUGAAGGUAGCUCAAUGACAUAGAAGACUAAAGAUUAUUGAUCAACACUUUUUUUACAAAAAUGCAGCCAUGUCUUUAGUAUAGAACCUGUCAAAACUAUAUAGUCCCACACAACAUAACAUGCUCCACCCCACAAUUUCCUCCUUUCCAAUAUUUCAACUUUCUUCCAGAUGGUCAGAACUUCUUUUGAUAAUUUGAAGAGCUGCAAUUCCCAGUCUCAACAUGCAGAUGGUUCAAUUAUCCACCAUCAACAAUAUUAAAUAGGAGCCAAGAUUGAAAAUGGCAAGCAAAUAAGCUCCAAGAACCUAGGGUAUUGGAGAGAAAGCAGUGGUUAUGCAAACAGGGAGGGGAGGACGAAUUGCCAAUGUGAAUAAGGCUAAACAAGGUAAUGGAAGACUUGCAACCAAAGCUGAGAAGGAUGGGAGAGAUUAUUUUCCACACCAUUAUGCAUUCUAGUUUAGCAAUCAAGAACCGAUAUUGAUCAACCAGCAGCAAUUUCAAGAAAUUAUGAAAAACCUCAGUUUGUCCAAUUGUCAUAGUAAGAGAAUUUCAUUUAUGAUUGUUUUGUACAUCCCUUAGGCUAAAGGGGUUCUUAAUAAUGGCAUUGUCUGAAGUUGCAUUUAUAAUCUCGGAUGGAACAAAAAUGAACCCUUUUUUCUUUUCCUACAGAUAAAACCAUUUAAAAUUUGACAGUAACUAAGCAGUCUCAAGAGAUAAAUCAUCUGAGAUGCAAAUUUCACACUAUUGCAAAAAUGGGUGCCAAAGUUGAGGGAGCCUGUUUUGUGCUGGCAAUAUAUGUAUAGUUUAAACAUUGUUCAGAGAUAGCAAGAACUGCAGGUGCUGGAGUCAAAGUAACAAGGUGUGGAGAUGGAGGAAUACAGCAGGCCAGGCAACAUCAGAGGAGCAGGAAAGUUGAUAUUUUGGAUGGGACCCUUCUUCAGAAAUGGGCAUUUCUGAAGAAGGGUCCUGACUCAGAAAAUCAACUUUCCUGCUCCUUUGAUGCUGCCUGGCCUGCUAUGUUCCUCCAGUUCCACACUGUAAUAUCUGUGAGAGACACUUGGUCUGUUUUGCAUCCUGUGUUGGCAUUGGCCAAUUACUACUGUAUUUAAAAUUCUUUACUACUGUUCAAAGAUAUAACUAUUAUGUCAAAGACUUUUGUACUGUACUUGUGAUCUGUAAAUUUCUGACACUCUCUUAUAUGGAUGUGGGGAUUCUAAUUUACCACUGUAGUCUUUGAAACAAAUUGUAGAAAAUACUAUAUAAAAUUGGUCAUCAGUGUUUCUGAAGUUAUUGAAAUGGGUAAGAAUGUCUUUUUAAUAGUGUGUUAUUGGAAAA